rnacentral:rRNA from 1 species
AGCGAACGCUGGCGGCAGGCCUAACACAUGCAAGUCGAACGAACCUUUCGGGGUUAGUGGCGGACGGGUGAGUAACACGUGGGAACGUGCCUUUAGGUUCGGAAUAACUCAGGGAAACUUGUGCUAAUACCGAAUGCGCCCUUCGGGGGAAAGAUUUAUCGCCUUUAGAGCGGCCCGCGUCUGAUUAGCUAGUUGGUUGAGGUAAUGACUCACCAAGGCGACGAUCAGUAGCUGGUCUGAGAGGAUGAUCAGCCACAUUGGGACUGAGACACGGCCCAAACUCCUACGGGAGGCAGCAGUGGGGAAUCUUGCGCAAUGGGCGAAAGCCUGACGCAGCCAUGCCGCGUGAAUGAUGAAGGUCUUAGAAUUGUAAAAUUCUUUCACCGGGGACGAUAAUGACGGUACCCGGAGAAGAAGCCCCGGCUAACUUCGUGCCAGCCGCCGCCGUAA